UACGUAGGGUGCAAGCGUUGUCCGGAAUUAUUGGGCGUAAAGAGCUCGUAGGCGGUUUGUCGCGUCUGCUGUGAAAACUCGGAGCUCAACUCCGGGCCUGCAGUCGAUACGGGCAGACUGGAGUUCGGCAGGGGAGACUGGAAUUCCUGGUGUAGCGGUGAAAUGCGCAGAUAUCAGGAGGAACACCGGUGGCGAAGGCGGGUCUCUGGGCCGAUACUGACGCUGAGGAGCGAAAGCGUGGGGAGCGAACAGG
rnacentral:rRNA from 1 species